rnacentral:rRNA from 1 species
CCUACGGGUGGCAGCAGUGGGGAAUAUUGGGCAAUGGGCGAAAGCCUGACCCAGCAACGCCGCGUGAAGGAAGAAGGCUUUCGGGUUGUAAACUUCUUUUGACAGGGAAGAGCAGAAGACGGUACCUGUCGAAUAAGCCACGGCUAACUACGUGCCAGCAGCCGCGGUAAUACGUAGGGGGCAAGCGAUGUCCGGAUUUAAGGGGUGUAAAGGGCGUGUAGCCGGGCUGACAAGUCAGAUGUGAAAUCUGGGGGCUCAACCCCCGAACUGCAUUUGAAACUGUUGGUCUUGAGUAUCGGAGAGGCAGGCGGAAUUCCUAGUGUAGCGGUGAAAUGCGUAGAUAUUAGGAGGAACCCCAGUGGCGAAGGCGGUCUGCUGGACGACAACUGACGGUGAGGCGCGAAAGCGUGGGGAGCAAACAGGAUUAGAUACCCGUGUAGUC